GCGGACGAUCAUCAACAUUCCCGUCAUGCGCAUGCGCAGUUCUAAUAUUUUGAUAUCGCCGUCAAACAUGGAUGUAUUAUAAGCUGUUAAAGAGCGUAAUCAGAUCUCCACACAACAUGCCUUGAAUACCAGCGACGCGCUCUUGCGUUCUUGGUAGGUGAAACAAACAAGUAAACAAAUGAACAAUCAAAUAAUUAAAAAAACAGCAGACGAAGCCUUAACACCGUAUCGAUCACAGCCACUCGUGUGGUACUGUUGUGUCGCCACGGUUACUGGAUUAAAUAGGGGUAGCGGGAGAACCGAGUCUCCCGGUUAACGGGGAUGCCACGGCUGAACAAGACCGGCCUCCUCGCGGUCCUGGUAGCGGCGAGCUCCGCCUUCCUGCUCUUCCAACUCUACUACUACCGCCAGUCAUCGAAUGGAGGAAACACUUCACGGCAGAAAGACAAUCAAUGGGAAGCGCUGAGGCGUGUGAUGGCUGUGGCCCGCAAGCUGGCCCUGCCCAUCUUCCUGGCCGACCCAACAGCGCUGUCUCUGAUUGGCCAGACGGGCGGAUCGGCGGGCCUCGGGCGUGGCUGUAGCUUCCUGUGCACCGGGAGGCCGGUCACUGCCUUCGCCGCCAUCGCCGACCACUGGAAGUACGAUCGGCAGGCUGUUGCCACGGUAGCCAGUCAGAAGGGCCUGGAGGUGGAGCAGGUGCGCGGCCGUGACCCCCGGCUGCUUGAGGAAGGGGCAGAGCUGUCGGCAGCCCAGAUCCCUCUGCACUUCCUGUUCCGCUCAACCCAUGGCCACAUCGUCCAGGUGGUGUUGCUCUACCAGAGGAGUGGGGGCUAUCUGUGGCACGCCCCCCUGCGGUUAGCACCCAGCGCAGACCGCCGCCUGGCCCCACCCAACGCCCUGCCCUACGGACGCCACGCCGGGGCCUAUCGCAGGCCAGAUCUGGUGCUAACGAUGCUGGAUGGACUGGAUGUACAGGUUCCACGAAACUCCUCCCACUUCCUGACCCUACGAAGCGAAGCGGACUUCAUAGAGUGCCGCCACAAAGAGGCCCGAGCCUUCUACCAGUCUCCUUCAGGCUCUCUGGGUGUGUGUUGCUGGAGGCCCCUGAUGGGGCUAGUGAGCAACAGCAUGGGGGCGAGCACUCUGCCGGGGACGGACAUGUCCUGGUUAUCUUUGGGACCUGUACUGGCCUGCUGGGAUGGCUGGAACGACUUCUUCAAAGAUCCCAUUUCAUGCUUUUUUAGGGCCCGCCUCCAGAGUAUCCCAGUCUGCUGUGAUUGGUCGAACACUUUGCGUGCGUUUCGACAAAGGACUUCUGCCCUUCAGCUCCGCCCACUGGCACAGUCUGACGGCACAUUGUUACGGAACUCUACCCUGAAGACGGCUCUGUGGAGGCAGCAGAGUUCCGGCGGGCGGCUCGCUCCGUGCUGUCGGUCGCCGCCCGGACCCUGGACUCCCUUAACGUCCCCUUCUGGAUCAGCAGCGGGACCUGCCUCGGAUGGUACCGUCAGUGUGGGUUCAUCUCAUACAGUCGUGAUGUUGACGUGGGCGUGUCCAUCCGUCACUACCGCCCCGACCUAGCCACCGCCUUUGCUAGCGCCGGCCUGCCCCUCAAACACAGCUUUGGCAGGGUAGAGGACAGUCUGGAGCUGUCCUUCCAGUCUCCGGGGGGCGGUGUGAAGCUGGACGUCUUCUUCUUCUACCAGGAGGAGAGCGAGGGAGUGAGCGUCGUCUGGAACGGCGGCACGCAGGCCAAGAGCGGCAGGAAGUUCAAGUAUGUGUUUCCUAGUUUUAAACUCUGCUGGGCGGAGCUGGCGGGCGUGCGUGUGCGUGUUCCGUGCACGACCCUGGACUAUGUGCGCGCCAACUACGGGCACGAGGCGUGGUCGUCCCCGGAGACCGCCUGGGACUGGAAGACCUCGCCCGCCAACGUGAUGGAGAACGGAGUCUGGCCCCGGGGGGACUGGGGCCAGGUCAUCCAGUCCUACUGAGAUACACGGCGUCAGAUACACUUCAUCACACUGCAUCGGUUACACUGCGACAUACUGCCUCGUAAUGACUCGGAUAUACUGACUCAGUGACUCAGACACACUGACUCAUACUGACUCAGACAUACUGACUCACACCGACUCAGGUAUAUUGACUCACUGACUCAGAUAUACUGACUCACAAUGACUCAGGUACAGUAUAUUGACUCACUGACUCAGAUAUUCUGAGUCUUACUGACUCAGACAUACUGACUCAGACAUACCAGCUCAGACUGACUCAUACUAACGCAGUAUUAUAACCAACUAUGCCAGACAUGCUGUCAUGUUCCAUCAAAGCCAACAGGACCUUGCUAAAACAUUUUUAACAGUAUUUGCCGGUGUCAGCCGGACUAUAUUACAGAUAAUUUCCUCCAUCAAUGCUACUGGUGUGGGCACAACUGUUUACUACUUUGUUAAAACGUUACUGUAAAGUAUCAUUGAAAAAUACUUUUCAUGUCUUUAAUUUUUUGUUUUUGCCUUUAUGCUGCUGGCAAUGUGAGCUGUUCUGACGUGUUUUGUUUCAUCUUAUUAAUGCCAUCCACAACAAUCAUUUGUUUUGCCCCAUGCUAACGAUUACUAUCACUUCAAGCAUAAAUGUUCUUACAAAACCGACUGUUUUAGUUUUCAUUGAAUAAUAAAGUUCAGACAAAACAUUGUUCAAACA